CACGUAGGGCGCAAGCGUUGUCCGGAAUUAUUGGGCGUAAAGAGCUCGUAGGCGGUUAGUCGCGUCUGCUGUGAAAACUCGGGGCUUAACUCCGGGCCUGCAGUGGGUACGGGCUGACUAGAGUGCGGUAGGGGAGGCUGGAAUUCCUGGUGUAGCGGUGAAAUGCGCAGAUAUCAGGAGGAACACCGGUGGCGAAGGCAGGUCUCUGGGCCAUAACUGACGCUGAGAAGCGAAAGCAUGGGGAGCGAACAGG
rnacentral:rRNA from 1 species